GAGACACCCUUCUGGGGCAAGACUUGCUUCAGUGGGCUUUGGUGCUCACUGAGUCUGCCCCCUGAGUGUGUCCCU
rfam:Myotis lucifugus cont2.11006, whole genome shotgun sequence.